UACGGGUGGGGCAAGCGUUGUUCGGAAUUACUGGGCGUAAAGGGCUCGUAGGUGGCCAACUAAGUCAGACGUGAAAUCCCUCGGCUUAACCGGGGAACUGCGUCUGAUACUGGAUGGCUUGAAUCCGGGAGAGGGAUGCGGAAUUCCAGGUGUAGCGGUGAAAUGCGUAGAUAUCGGGAGGAACACCAGAGGCGAAGGCGGGUUACUGGGCUGAUACUGACGCUGAAUCACGAAAGCUAGGGGAGCAAACGGG
rnacentral:rRNA from 1 species